GCAGCCGCGGUAAUUCCAGCUCCAAUAGCGUAUAUUAAAGUUGUUGCAGUUAAAAAGCUCGUAGUUGAAUUUCGGGAUUGACACAUCGGUCGUGCCUUAAGGGGUAUGAACUGGUGUAGUCAAUUUCUCACCUUCUGGAGAACCGCGAUGCCCUUAAUUGGGUGUCGCGGGGAACCAGGACCUUUACUUUGAAAAAAUUAGAGUGUUUAAAGCAGGCAUUUUGCUUGAAUACAUUAGCAUGGAAUAAUAAAAUAGGACGGCAUGAUUCUAUUUUGUUGGUUUCUAGGAUCACCGUAAUGAUUAAUAGGGAUAGUUGGGGGCAUUAGUAUUCAAUUGUCAGAGGUGAAAUUCUUGGAUUUAUUGAAGACUAACUACUGCGAAAGCAUUUGCCAAGGAUGUUUUCAUUAAUCAAGAACGAAAGUUAGGGGAUCGAAGACGAUCAGAUACCGUCGUAGUCUUAACCAUAAACUAUGCCGACUAGGAAUCAGACGAUGUUAAUUUUUUAAUGACUCGUUUGGCACCUUACG
rnacentral:rRNA from 1 species